rnacentral:rRNA from 1 species
GACGAACGCUGGCGGCGUGCUUAACACAUGCAAGUCGAACGGAAAGGCCCUGCUUUUGUGGGGUGCUCGAGUGGCGAACGGGUGAGUAACACGUGAGUAACCUGCCCUUUACUUUGCGAUAACUUCAGGAAACUGGGGCUAAUACCGGAUAGGAGCUCCUACUGCAUGGUGGGGGUUGGAAAGUUUCGGCGGAUGGGGAUGGACUCGCGGCUUAUCAGCUUGUUGGUGGGGUAGUGGCUUACCAAGGCUUUGACGGGUAGCCGGCCUGAGAGGGUGACCGGCCACAUUGGGACUGAGAUACGGCCCAGACUCCUACGGGAGGCAGCAGUGGGGAAUAUUGCACAAUGGGCGGAAGCCUGAUGCAGCAACGCCGCGUGCGGGAUGACGGCCUUCGGGUUGUAAACCGCUUUCGCCUGUGACGAAGCGUGAGUGACGGUAAUGGGUAAAGAAGCACCGGCUAACUACGUG